GCGCCCGUAGCUCAGCUGGAUAGAGCGCUGCCCUCCGGAGGCAGAGGUCAGGGGUUCGAAUCCCUUCGGGCGCG
rfam:Thioalkalivibrio denitrificans strain ALJD Ga0073317_1121, whole genome shotgun sequence.